rnacentral:rRNA from 1 species
UAGGUUAACGAGGCGAACCGGGGGAACUGAAACAUCUAAGUACCCCGAGGAAAAGAAAUCAACCGAGAUUCCCCCAGUAGCGGCGAGCGAACGGGGAGCAGCCCAGAGUCUGAAUCAGCUUGUGUGUUAGUGGAACGGUCUGGAAAGUCCGACGGUACAGGGUGAUAGUCCCGUACACCAAAAUGCACAGGUUGUGAACUCGAAGAGUAGGGCGGGACACGUGGUAUCCUGUCUGAAUAUGGGGGGACCAUCCUCCAAGGCUAAAUACUCCUGACUGACCGAUAGUGAACCAGUACCGUGAGGGAAAGGCGAAAAGAACCCCGGCGAGGGGAGUGAAAAAGAACCUGAAACCGUGUACGUACAAGCAGUGGGAGCACCUUCGGGUGUGACUGCGUACCUUUUGUAUAAUGGGUCAGCGACUUAUAUUCUGUAGCAAGGUUAACCGUAUAGGGGAGCCGCAGGGAAACCGAGUCUUAACUGGGCGUUAAGUUGCAGGGUAUAGACCCGAAACCCGGUGAUCUAGCCAUGGGCAGGUUGAAGGUUGGGUAACACUAACUGGAGGACCGAACCGACUAAUGUUGAAAAAUUAGCGGAUGACUUGUGGCUGGGGGUGAAAGGCCAAUCAAACCGGGAGAUAGCUGGUUCUCCCCGAAAGCUAUUUAGGUAGCGCCUCGUGAACUCAUCUUCGGGGGUAGAGCACUGUUUCGGCUAGGGGGUCAUCCCGACUUACCAACCCGAUGCAAACUACGAAUACCGAAGAAUGUUAUCACGGGAGACACACGGCGGGUGCUAACGUCCGUCGUGAAGAGGGAAACAACCCAGACCGCCAGCUAAGGUCCCAAAGUCAUGGUUAAGUGGGAAACGAUGUGGGAAGGCACAGACAGCCAGGAUGUUGGCUUAGAAGCAGCCAUCAUUUAAAGAAAGCGUAAUAGCUCACUGGUCGAGUCGGCCUGCGCGGAAGAUGUAACGGGGCUAAACCAUGCACCGAAGCUGCGGCAGCGACACUAUGUGUUGUUG